UGAGGGAGGAAGGCUCUUGGGUUGUAAACCUCUUUUAUCAAGGAAGAUAAUGACGGUACUUGAUGAAUCAGCAUCGGCUAACUCCGUGCCAGCAGCCGCGGUAAUACGGAGGAUGCAAGCGUUAUCCGGAAUAAUUGGGCGUAAAGCGUUCGUAGGUGGUUCUGUAAGUCUGCUGUUAAAGCGUGUAGCUCAACUACAUAUAGGCGGUGGAAACUACAAAACUUGAGUGCGUUCGGGGUAGAGGGAAUUCCUGGUGUAGCGGUGAAAUGCGUAGAGAUCAGGAAGAACACCGGUGGCGAAGGCGCUCUACUAGACCGCAACUGACACUGAGGGACGAAAGCUAGGGGAGCGAAUGGGAUUAGAUACCCCAGUAGUC
rnacentral:rRNA from 1 species